UAUACUUCAAAAGUAAUGAAGGUUAAUAAAAACCUGAUAAGGUUAUUCGUUUAUAUUUUCAUAUUCGUAAAUAUAUUUUAUUGUUCUUAAUAUUAUAAUAAUUAUACGUAUAUGUGGUUGCUAAACUACUAGAUACACACAUUUCUGUUAUUAUCUAUUUCAAAAAUAUUUAAAAAAUGCAAUGACUAUUAAGAUUGCAAAGGGUAUUUAGAGUGCCCUUUGUAUUUCUUAUCCACAUUUUACUGAUAGGUAUGGAUACUUGUUCAAACAUGCAGUCGAGUUGAAUAUCGUAACUAGAUAAUGAUAUCCAUUACCAGUCUAUAUAACCCGAUACUUGUAGAAAGAUUUAGUAUUGUGCUCUAAGUUCGACAAAAGUGAAGUGGUUGAAAGUUUGAAAUAAUAAACAACAAUGGAGUCUUCAUACAACCUGAAAGAUGUGGAUAAAUGUUUCAGACCAUAUAAUUAUUAUAAUUUAUCUGAUGAUGAAGAAGAGGUUUUAAACAUAACAGAAAAUAAAAAUAAGAAGACCAAUCGUUUAGAUGACUUUUUUCUUCAAGAACCUGAACGGAAGAAGAAAAAAACUAAACUUUCUUCAAGUGUUGGCCGUGCAGGGAAGGAGGGAAGCAUUUCAUAUAUAUCGACUGAUAAAGACGAUGGAAUGGACGCUGACAUACUUGUUAAAAUGGAAUUAUAUAGUUUAAAAAAGUUGAAAGAAAUCCCAGUGGCACAACAUUGGAAAAAUGCAGAUAUUCGUGUUAAAUAUUAUAUGAAAAACGAUUCCAACAUUGAUGUUCAGAUAAAGGAUAUUGUAUACAACAUAACAAAGGGGAUAUCCGAGGAAGAUAGUGUAAAACGUUACAGUUUUAAAAAUUAGUUUCAUUUAGUUUCUUCAUGCUUCAGAUUUUAAUACCAUAUGUUUAUAUAAUUAAGUAAUGUUUCAGUUUUCCAUUAGUAUAAAUACUAUGUUGCAUUGUACAAAGUCAAUCAUUGUGCUUUUUGUUGAAGACCUUUGCGCAUUAAGGUUAAAAGUGUGAGACAAAAAACAGUUGUGAAACAAAUACAUAUAUACAAUGUCUCAAGAAUGUGUUAGUGUUUUUUUUGAUGAAAUGGAUCAUGAAUUUGAAAGCUUAUCCAUUGAUACAAUUGAACUUUUCAACGUUUGUGAUGAAAUAGAAAGAAAUGAUUUAAAUCACCCAUUUUAUGAUCAAAGAAUGAUGGUGCUAUGUGAUGAAUUCGAUGGGAAACUGGUUGAUCAAAUGGGUCGUGGAACUAAAAGGAAAGCAGCUGUUGAUAUUAACUCUGCUGACAUCAAAAGAAUAAAAUCUGGAUCGAACAUGGAUCUUUCACGGUCUUCACAAGAGCAAUCAACAUCGAAUGAAGGUAAUAAUUUUAACAUGAAAUUUUGCUGUAUUUGUAAUAGAAAUGUUUCCAAAAAA